AAUGAUAAAAAGGCUUAAUUAACUAACAAAUAAACAAUUGGACGUUGAAGACAAAAAUACUGUAAGACCCUGUUUAUUUUCUAAAGAAUUGAAAUAUUUUUCUUAGUCAUUAAGAUGAAAUUUAUCGGUCUGACCGCAAAGAGGUCCAGGAUAUUUACAAAACUAAAGCUAGCUCAGCGGUACCGUAAGUAACCGAAUACGGUUUACACUUAGCGUUUCCCCUCGGGAAUUAUUUUUAUGGGUUUCGAUAAAAGAGUCUGAGAUAAAUAUUUGGUUUAUAAAAUUCAUUUGAGUUUUGGUCACUAAAGAGUGAAGUUAUUUAAUAAAAACAAUAAAGGGUGUUGCGACGUGAAAUAAGCUGUGUUGGUUUGGUGUAGUGUUUUACUACAAGAAAGGGUCUACACGUCACCAUCUCUACUUUGGAGUCGCCCAAGCGCCCAGUUGUUUUACAAGACCAUCAAUCACCUGACGAACUUGAUCAUGGCUCACCUCAGUAAAAGACAAGCCCGGUCCACAACUACCUGUCAAAUAAUCGGAAGGAUUGUUAGGACCCGAGGGAAGCGACUCUUCCAGUUAAGUAGGAACAUUAAUAAAUAAUUCAUUAAAGAGGCAGGCAUUGAUUUAGCCCGGCUCGGUUUCUUUAACAUUAGAGUUAAGCGAUUUUAUUAAUUAUAGUAAAAGCUGAGAUGUCAAAAUUCUUCUUCAUGGCCUCCUAUGACACAAACAACAAUUUUUCAUCAAGUAACAUUUUGACCAUAAAACUUUUUUAAAUAUUAUGUGUGUUAUAUCGUUGUAAUUGUCUUUAAAUAGGCUUUUGUUUUUUACAGGUGUAGUUUUUUUUCGGUCUAUAUAAAAAAAAAAUUGAUGAUGAUAACUCAGAUACCAAACGUUAGAUUUAAACUAUUUAUACAUUAAAUUGUAAAGCACAAAAGUGGCAAUGAAAAA